GGAGCCGGCGCCGCUGCUAGCAGCUGCUAUUGAGGUGAAGCUCAUGGUAGGGUUUCUACCAGUCUCUUGUAUCAAUGCAUCACAGAAAGCCCUGUGUGUAAUGUAACUAUCGCGUCUGCAAAAGAAAAAGCCCAAAAAGAUCAAGAGAAAGCAACCAAGAAGAAGGAAAAAAUAGUCAAAAAGCUAUAAAUCGGAGGUUAAGAAAGAACCAAGAAGAAGAUGAUACAUGUAUGAUGAUAGUGAAGAAGAUGAAGAAGAAGACACUCGUCCUUUAUAUAUGUAUAUGUGUAUUAUAAAAUACAAAGACAAACCUCAAAGCCCUUUCUCUCUCUCUCUCUCUCUCUCUCUGAUCUCUCUCUUGUUUUUUGUUCUUCUUCAAUUUUGUUUAAUAUGGCAUAUGUGGAUCUUGAAAAGUAUAUGUAGGUAAGGUCCAUCUCUGUCAUAAUUUAUUGUAAUGAAACAAACUUUAAAUU